AACGAACGCUGGCGGCAGGCUUAACACAUGCAAGUCGAACGUGAACGUCUCUUCGGAGAUUAGUAGAGUGGCGCACGGGUGCGUAACGCGUAGGAAUCUGCCCAGUAGUACGGAAUAACCAUUGGAAACGAUGGCUAAUACCGUAUACGCCCUUCGGGGGAAAGCUUUAGUGCUAUUGGAUGAGCCUGCGUUAGAUUAGCUAGUUGGUAGGGUAAUGGCCUACCAAGGCUACGAUCUAUAGCUGGUCUGAGAGGAUGAUCAGCCACACUGGGACUGAGACACGGCCCAGACUCCUACGGGAGGCAGCAGUGGGGAAUAUUGGACAAUGGAGGAAACUCUGAUCCAGCCAUGCCGCGUGAGUGAUGAAGGCCUUAGGGUUGUAAAGCUCUUUCAGCAGGGAAGAUAAUGACGGUACCUGCAGAAGAAGCCCCGGCUAACUUCG
rnacentral:rRNA from 1 species